UCGUGGUACCCGCAGACCCAUGCCUCUCGGCUGCGAUCAGGAGGGGGUUGGCGGCGUUCACGAUGGGAUGGCUCAAGUCGGAACGGGGUGAUGCCGUUGCCACUGCGGUCCCUGCCAGUCCGCGGCUCCUCACAGCCACAGGCAGGAUAGCGCGUGGCCAGAGGCCGGGCCUUGCUGCCGGCAGUGCAGGCAGGGCUCUGCUCCUGCCGCUCCCCAGGGAGAGGCAGGAGCUGUGCGCUCUUGUCUGCUGCCCAGCACCUCCUCUGCUGUGGGGCCUGACCACCAGACGAUGAAGCUGGUCAUGCAGCACAGGAAGAAAGCGGCUCUCCAGGACACGGCAGAAGGAGACCUCCGUAGAGGCUGUCAAGUUUCCCAGGCUCUCCUUGCCAGCCAAGGCAAGAGUUGUGAAGGUCUGUGAAGCAAGGCUUGCAGUGUGAAAUCCUCUGUAUGUGUUGUUCUGGAGGGGACUUCAGUACCAUCUCUUUGGAAGAUUGACUCUGUAGCUGCCGUUUGUCUUCAGCUGCAAGUUCCUUGAAUGUUUCAGCUCUUCCAUACUGUAUAUAUUACUCUUCUGGGUUGCUUUUCGCAAACAAAAGUCUGGAACUUGGGAGAGAACAAAAGUUAGUUUCCUUUGUCUAGUGUUUCUUCUUUCAGUGGGUGGUUAUUUCUAAUCUAGUCUGUAGCUGGUCUUUGGUUAUAUAAUCCAUGCUCAGAUCCAAAAGCACAAGACCUUGAAUUAAACACUUGUUUAAAAUAAACUCCUCCUUCCAAUUCA